AACGCGAAGAACCUUACCAGGGCUUAAAUGUAGUCUGACAGGGGUGGAAACACCCUUUUCUUCGGACAGAUUACAAGGUGCUGCAUGGUUGUCGCCAGCUCGUGCCGUGAGGUGUCAGGUUAAGUCCUAUAACGAGCGCAACCCCUGUUGUUAGUUGCCAGCGAGUCAAGUCGGGAACUCUAACAAGACUGCCGGUGCAAACCGUGAGGAAGGUGGGGAUGACGUCAAAUCAUCACGGCCCUUACGUCCUGGGCCACACACGUGCUACAAUGGCAGGUACAAUGGGCAGCCACUGCGUAAGCAGGAGCGAAUCCACAAAACCUGUCUCAGUUCGGAUCGGGGUCUGCAACUCGACCCCGUGAAGCUGGAAUCGCUAGUAAUCGGAUAUCAGCCAUGAUCCGGUGAAUACGUUCCCGGGUCUGUACACACCG
rnacentral:rRNA from 1 species